AUGCACAGUAUAGCCAAGAUCCUCUGCAAGUUGCUUGCCAACAGGCUGGCCCCGGAGCUUGAUUCCCUUGUCUCUCUUUCCCAGAGCGCUUUCAUUAAGAAGAGAUGUAUUCAGGACAACUUCCUUUAUGUGCACAAUGUCAUCAGAGAGGCUCACACUAAGAAGAAGCCAUUAAUCUUCCUCAAGCUUGACAUUGCAAAAGCGUUUGACUCCGUUGGUUGGGGCUUCUUGUUGGAGACCUUGUCUGCUUUUGGCUUUGGUCGGCGCUGGAGAAACAUUGUGUCUGUCAUCCUGAGUUCUGCUUCCUCAAGAAUUUUGUUAAAUGGCACCCCUGGUCCGCCCUUCAGGCAUAUGUGUGGUCUUAGACAGGGUGACCCCUUGUCCCCGAUGUUGUUCAUUCUCGCCAUGGAGCCGCUUCGGAAACUGUUGGAUCUUGCAACGGAAGGCGGUGUUCUAACUAAGCUGGGACCUAAGGCAGCCAGAUUUCGCACAAGUAUGUACGCUGAUGAUGCGGCCCUGUUUUUAAACCCUAUCAAGGACGAGGUGCAUGCAGUCAGAGCAAUAUUGGAUAGGUUUGGGGAGGCCUCUGGUCUAAAAAUCAACAUCCAGAAAUGUGUUGCAUAUCCAGUUAGGUGCGAGGGGCUCGACUUCCAGGAUAUUAUCCAAGAUUUUGGUGGGACGGCAGGCUCUCUCCUGUGUCGUUACCUUGGACUGCCGCUCAGUUAUCGCAAGCUUAGAAGAAUUGAGGUCCUCCCUCUCAUAGAUGGCAUGGCCGGAAGGCUUAAAGGAUGGAAAGGCAAACUGAUGGCCAAACCUGGAAGGCUCACUCUAAUAAAUUCUGUGCUUACAUCCAUGGCCACAUAUUUCUUAACCAGUUUUGCAGUUGACAAAUGGGCAAUAAAGAAAAUGGAAAAGAUUCAGCGAAACUUCCUUUGGAAUGGUGACGAGGAGUGCAAAGGGGCCAAGUGCCUUGUCAACUGGAAGAGGGUCUGCUCCCCAAAGGAUCUUGGUGGCCUUGGAAUCAAAGACAUUGCCUGCUUCAGUAGGGCAUUGCGGCUGCGUUGGGCUUGGCUAGAGUGGAGCCCCAAUUCAAGGCCUUGGCAGGGCACCCCCAUCCCAUGCGAUCGCACGGACAUGCUGCUUUUCUCAGCUUGCACGGAGAUUUCGUUGGGGAAUGGGCAACGGGCAAGUUUCUGGAAUGAUCGAUGGCUGUUGGGAAUGGCUCCUGUGGAUGUGGCCCCCGGUUUGUUCGGUUUGGCACGGCGGAAAAGGCUCUCUGUGAAGGAAGCUCUUGCUGGUAAUCGCUGGAUGAAGGGCCUGGAAAGAAUUGCUUCCGAGGAGCUGCUGGAUCAACUUGUCAAGUUAUGGGAGCUGCUGCAACCCAUUGUCCUUUCUGAUGUUCCUGAUACCAUCCGGUGGAAGUUCACUAAUGAUGGAGGCUACUCCGCUGCGUCUGCUUACAAUGCUCAGUUUAUUGGUCGCAUCGCUGAGCCACAAUUGCAUGCUUCAUUGAGGAUCAAGGCCGAGCCGAAGGUAAAGUUCCAUCUGUGGCUCCUGAUUUAG
rnacentral:rRNA from 1 species